CCAUCCGUCCAGAGCGUUCUACCUAGAAAGAGAUCUAGCCUCCUUUUAUUGGGAGUGGUCUGAUCAGCUGGCAAUCAGAUCGCUAAUGUGAACGGGGUUCUACAGCUGAGUCGGUAAUGAAGC